UUGGAAUUUGAAAUUUGGAAUUUUUGAAUUGCAGGUUGUGUGGCGUCAUUGCGAGGUACACGGAAGAGCUGUCAGUCAACUCGGCCAGCCUUUUCCAUUACAAGUGAGCGUCGUGGUGGUUUUCAUCAAUGGGGAAAUGACGACGACGUGGAAUGGAGAAAUCAUCUCUUGGGGAGCUGCCGGUUUUGCAGGCGAAAAUCUCAGGAGGGCGAGCCUUGACGUCAUGCUGUGCGGGAUCGAGAAACGAGGCGGAAAUCGGCUGGGCGGCUCGACACUAAAAAGAAGAAGCAGCCGAUAAAAUCAAGGAAGGAUGACCGCCUAUGCUGUUCCACCCGUAGACAACAUCAUCACCGAUGGAAUUCUCUUCAUGACCGCUAGACGGCAGCAGCUUCUGGUAAGGGCAAGCUAAAAAUAUACUCAUUUGGAAAAUUGUUGGCUAUCGUGAAAAGAAAUGCUCGUUUGAGAUUUCGCUUUAGUCCUGUGAAUUGUGGCAAAUUUGUGUUUUGCUGGAUUUCA